rnacentral:rRNA from 1 species
GAUGAACGCUGGCGGCGUGCCUAAUACAUGCAAGUCGAGCGAACAGAUGAGAGGCUUGCUUCACUGAUGUUAGCGGCGGACGGGUGAGUAACACGUGGGUAACCUACCUAUAAGACUGGGAUAACUCCGGGAAACCGGGGCUAAUACCGGAUAAUAUUUUGAACCGCAUGGUUCAAUAGUGAAAGACGGUUUCGGCUGUCACUUAUAGAUGGACCCGCGCCGUAUUAGCUAGUUGGUAAGGUAACGGCUUACCAAGGCGACGAUACGUAGCCGACCUGAGAGGGUGAUCGGCCACACUGGAACUGAGACACGGUCCAGACUCCUACGGGAGGCAGCAGUAGGGAAUCUUCCGCAAUGGGCGAAAGCCUGGCGGAGCAACGCCGCGUGAGUGAUGAAGGUCUUCGGAUCGUAAAACUCUGUUGUUAGGGAAGAACAAAUUUGUUAGUAACUGAACAAGUCUUGACGGUACCUAACCAGAAAGCCACGGCUAACUACGUGCCAGCCGCCGCAGUAA